UACAUGUGGGGCAAGCGUUGUUCGGAAUUACUGGGCGUAAAGGGCGCGUAGGCGGCGACUCAAGUUAGAUGUGAAAGUCCUGGGCUUAACCUGGGGACUGCAUUUGAUACUGGGUUGCUUGAAUUCGGGAGAGGAUAGCGGAAUUCCCAGUGUAGAGGUGAAAUUCGUAGAUAUUGGGAAGAACACCGGUGGCGAAGGCGGCUAUCUGGACCGACAUUGACGCUGAGGCGCGAAAGCGUGGGGAGCAAACAGG
rnacentral:rRNA from 1 species